CGCGCGACAUAGUGGCAGACGGGUGAGUAACGCGUGGGAACGUACCUUUCACUACGGAAUAGCUCUUGGAAACGAGUGGUAAUACCGUAUACGCCCUCCGGGGGAAAGAUUUAUCGGUGAAAGAUCGGCCCGCGUUAGAUUAGCUAGUUGGUAGGGUAAUGGCCUACCAAGGCGACGAUCUAUAGCUGGUCUGAGAGGAUGAUCAGCCACACUGGGACUGAGACACGGCCCAGACUCCUACGGGAGGCAGCAGUGGGGAAUCUUGCACAAUGGGCGAAAGCCUGAUGCAGCCAUGCCGCGUGAAUGAUGAAGGCCUUAGGGUUGUAAAAUUCUUUCGCCAGGGAUGAUAAUGACAGUACCUGGUAAAGAAGCCCCGGCUAACUUCGUGCCAGCAGCCGCGGUAAUACGAAGGGGGCUAGCGUUGUUCGGAAUUACUGGGCGUAAAGCGCACGUAGGCGGACUUUUAAGUCAGAUGUGAAAUCCCGGGGCUCAACCUCGGAACUGCAUUUGAAACUGGAAGUCUAGAGACCAGGAGAGGUUAGCGGAAUACCGAGUGUAGAGGUGAAAUUCGUAGAUAUUCGGUGGAACACCAGUGGCGAAGGCGGCUAACUGGACUGGUACUGACGCUGAGGUGCGAAAGUGUGGGGAGCAAACAGGAUUAGAUACCCUGGUAGUCCACACCGUAAACGAUGAGAGCUAGUUGUUGGCAGGCAUG
rnacentral:rRNA from 1 species